rnacentral:rRNA from 1 species
AGAGUAUGAUCCUGGCUCAGAUUGAACGCUGGCGGCAGGCCUAACACAUGCAAGUCGAGCGGUAACAGGAGAAGCUUGCUUCUCGCUGACGAGCGGCGGACGGGUGAGUAAUGCGUAGGAACCUACCCUUUUGUGGGGGAUAGCCCGGAGAAAUCCGGAUUAAUACCGCAUAAGCUCUUCGGAGGAAAGUGGGGGAUCUUCGGACCUCACGCUGAAGGAUGAGCCUACGUUGGAUUAGCUUGUUGGUGGGGUAAAGGCCUACCAAGGCGACGAUCCAUAGCUGGUCUGAGAGGAUGAUCAGCCACACCGGGACUGAGACACGGCCCGGACUCCUACGGGAGGCAGCAGUGGGGAAUAUUGGACAAUGGGCACAAGCCUGAUCCAGCCAUGCCGCGUGUGUGAAGAAGGCUCUAGGGUUGUAAAGCACUUUAAGCAGGGAAGAAACGCUGUUGGUUAAUAACCAUCAGUACUGACGGUACCUGCAGAAUAAGCACCGGCUAACUCCGUGCCAGCAGCCGCGGUAAUACGGAGGGUGCAAGCGUUAAUCGGAUUUACUGGGCGUAAAGCGUGCGUAGGCGGCUACGUAAGUCAGUUGUGAAA